ACACAUGCAAGUCGAACGAGAGAGAGGGAGCUUGCUUCCUCAAUCGAGUGGCGAACGGGUGAGUAACGCGUGAGGAACCUGCCUCAAAGAGGGGGACAACAGUUGGAAACGGCUGCUAAUACCGCAUAAGCCCACAGCUCGGCAUCGAGCAGAGGGAAAAGGAGCAAUCCGCUUUGAGAUGGCCUCGCGUCCGAUUAGCUAGUUGGUGAGGUAAUGGCCCACCAAGGCGACGAUCGGUAGCCGGACUGAGAGGUUGAACGGCCACAUUGGGACUGAGACACGGCCCAGACUCCUACGGGAGGCAGCAGUGGGGAAUAUUGCACAAUGGGGGAAACCCUGAUGCAGCGACGCCGCGUGGAGGAAGAAGGUCUUCGGAUUGUAAACUCCUGUUGUUGAGGAAGAUAAUGACGGUACUCAACAAGGAAGUGACGGCUAACUACGUGCCAGCAGCCGCGGUAAAACGUAGGUCACAAGCGUUGUCCGGAAUUACUGGGUGUAAAGGGAGCGCAGGCGGGAAGACAAGUUGGAAGUGAAAUCUAUGGGCUCAACCCAUAAACUGCUUUCAAAACUGUUUUUCUUGAGUAGUGCAGAGGUAGGCGGAAUUCCCGGUGUAGCGGUGGAAUGCGUAGAUAUCGGGAGGAACACCAGUGGCGAAGGCGGCCUACUGGGCACCAACUGACGCUGAGGCUCGAAAGUGUGGGUAGCAAACAGGAUUAGAUACCCUGGUAGUCCACACCGUAAACGAUGAUUACUAGGUGUUGGAGGAUUGACCCCUUCAGUGCCGCAGUUAACACAAUAAGUAAUCCACCUGGGGAGUACGACCGCA
rnacentral:rRNA from 1 species